AUGGAGCAACCGGCGUACUGCCUCUGCCUCUUCUUGGCUCUCCUCCUCCCUCUCCUGCUCCUCCUCAAGCUGUAUAGGAGGAAUCAUGGCGCCCGCUAUGGCGGCGUGUGUCUGCCGCCCGGCCCGUGGCAGCUGCCGGUCAUCGGUAGCUUGCACCACCUGGCCGGAAACCCUCUCGCGCACCGGGUCAUGGCCGACCUCGCGCGCCGGCUUGACGCGCCGCUCAUGUACCUCAAGCUCGGCGAGGUCCCCGUCGUCGUGGCCACGUCCCGGGAGGCCGCUCGCGAGAUCAUGCGGACGCACGACGCCGUCUUCGCGUCGCGGCCGUGGAGCUCCACCUUCAAGUCCUAUGAGAUGGACGGGCAAGGGCUGAUAUUCGCGCGGUACGGCGCCCUGUGGCGGCAGCUCCGCAAGAUUUGUGUCAUGCAGCUGCUCAGCCCGCGACGCGUCCAGUCUUUCCGCCGCAUCAGGGAGGAGGAGGUCGCACGGCUCGUGGCCGCCGUCGCAGCCACGCCGCCCGGCGAGCUCGUGAACGUCAGCCAGCGGAUCGCUGUGCUCAUCACUGACUCCGCGAUACGCGCCAUGAUAGGUGACAGGUUCAAGAAACGUGAGGAGUUUUUGCAGGCCAUCGACGAGGCGGUCAAGCUCUUCUCUGGGUUCUUCAACCUUGGCGACCUAUUCCCCUCGUCGAGGCUCGCGAGCUUCAUCGGUGGCACGGCGCGGCUUGCCCAGGAGAACAGCCGCAAGUGUUCGGAGCUCAUGGAGUACGUGAUCAACCAGCACGAGGAUCAGAGUUCCGUGGAGGAACAAGAGGACCUAGUGGACGUGCUCUUGAGGAUACGGAAGGAAGGUGGCCUCGAGGUGCCUCUCACCAUGGGAACCAUUAAAACCGUUAUCUUCGAUCUGUUUGGUGCUGGGAGCGAGACCUCAGCGACAACACUCCAAUGGGCAAUGUCAGAGCUAAUGAGGCACCCAAACGUGAUGCGAAAAGCACAGGCCGAAGUGCGCAGUAAUUGCCAAGGAAAGCACAAGUUAACCGAGGAUGACUUGGCUGAUCUCAAGUACCUCCAACUCAUCAUCAAGGAGACACUGAGGUUGCAUCCAGCUGCACCAUUGCUUAUCCCCAGGGAGGCUUCGGAGCCUUGCAAAAUCCUUGGGUACGACGUACCUAAGGGCAUUAUGGUGUUGGUGAAUGCGUGGGCAAUUGGCAGAGACCGUAAGCACUGGGAAGACCCUGAUGAGUUCAAGCCAGAGAGGUUUGAGUCUGGCAUGGUUGAUUUCAAAGGAUCAAACUUUGAGUACAUACCAUUUGGGGCGGGACGAAGGAUGUGCCCUGGAAUGAUAUUUGCACAAGCGAGCAUGGAGAUCGUGCUUGCCACUCUCCUCUACCACUUCGACUGGGAGCUCCCUGCUGGAGAUAAGCCAGGGAACAUGGACAUGAAUGAGGAGAUGGGCAUCACAGUUUGA
rnacentral:rRNA from 1 species